rnacentral:rRNA from 1 species
AUUGAACGCUGGCGGCGUGCCUAACACAUGCAAGUCGAGCGGUAACAGGUGUAGCAAUACAUGCUGACGAGCGGCGGACGGGUGAGUAACGCUUGGGAAUCUGCCUGUUAGUGGGGGACAACCCGGGGAAACUCGGGCUAAUACCGCAUACGCACUACGGGUGGAAAGCCGGGGACCGCAAGGCCUGGCGCUAACAGAUGAGCCCAAGUCGGAUUAGCUAGUUGGUAGGUAACGGCCACCAAGGCGACGAUCCGUAACUGGUCUGAGAGGACGACCAGUCACACCGGAACUGAGACA